rnacentral:rRNA from 1 species
CAGUCGCCGCGGUAAUACGUAGGGUGCAAGCGUUAUCCGGAAUUAUUGGGCGUAAAGAGCUCGUAGGCGGUUUGUCGCGUCUGUCGUGAAAGUCCGGGGCUCAACUCCGGAUCUGCGGUUGGUACGGGCAGACUAGAGUGAUGUAGGGGAGACUGGAAUUCCUGGUGUAGCGGUGGAAUGCGCAGAUAUCAGGAGGAACACCGAUGGCGAAGGCAGGUCUCUGGGCAUUAACUGACGCUGAGGAGCGAAAGCAUGGGGAGCGAACAGGAUUAGAUACCCCCGUAGUCCCUGUCUCUUAUAC